AGGGUUUGAUCCUGGCUCAGGAUGAACGCUAGCGACAGGCUUAACACAUGCAAGUCGAGGGGCAGCACAGGUAGCAAUACCGGGUGGCGACCGGCGCACGGGUGAGUAACGCGUAUGCAACUUACCUAUCAGAGGGGGAUAACCCGGCGAAAGUCGGACUAAUACCGCAUGAAGCAGGGGCCCCGCAUGGGGAUAUUUGCUAAAGAUUCAUCGCUGAUAGAUAGGCAUGCGUUCCAUUAGGCAGUUGGUGGGGUAACGGCCCACCAAGCCGACGAUCAGUAGCCGACCUGAGAGGGUGACCGGCCACAUUGGGACUGAGACACGGCCCAA
rnacentral:rRNA from 1 species